rnacentral:lncRNA from 1 species
GUACUUUUUCCCUGCACAUUCUGUGCAAUAAUGACCGCUAGGUUUCACAGCAGAUUUUUCGAAAGUGGCGCCAUCUAUGAAAAUUUCUGGUACGCAACUUUGAUGGUCUCUUUUUCUAAUACAGAGCGUUAAAAUCCGAGUCUUAGUUUUAACUUUUCAAAAUUAGCUUUUGGCCUUUCUGCACCGCAGCGGUGUUUUGUCAGACAUGGCUCAACCGACUCGGCUAUUGAUGCUGAUCAAGAAUAUAUAUACUUUAUGGGGUCGGAAACGCUGCCUUCUGUGCGCUACAUACAACCGUUAUUCCCCACAAAUACAAUAUACCCUAUUUACUCUUCGAGUACCGGGUAUAAAAAGAAAACUUUGUUUUUGAGCGUGUCGCUUUGCGAUUAAUGCUCAAGAUAGCCAACGCCAAACUCUCUCAGCCGAAGGCUCUCUCACCAAAGCCGAAGGCACUGGGAGCCAAUCCACUAUACUGAUUAGCCAGAAAGUUUUUACUCCAUUUGACCACUCUAUGAAUUAUUCACACAUAUACAAUAUACCCUAUUUACUCUUUCGGUACCGGGUAUAAAAAGGGUAUAUUGUAUUUGUGCACAAAGUAUGUAACACACAGAAGGUCACACACGGGUCCGACCCCAUAAAGUACAUACAUUCUUGAUCAGCAUCAAUAGCCGAGUCGGUUGAGCCAUGUCUGUCUGUCCGUCCGUCUAUC